ensembl:lncRNA
UGGGAAUAAAGAAGGGGGAGAGGAAAGUAUGGUGUUGCACAGACUCAUUCUAGUGGAAUCCAGUUAGAUGGUCCGAACACUUGUUCCAGAGGUUGACAUGUGUUUUGAUUUACACUAUGCCUGGAUGGACCGUGCAUACCCUUCAUUCCUAUGGAGGAUCAUCUCUACAAGGAGGUAUCAUUGUUCCUGUUUUACAAAUGAGAAACUACGUACAGACAUUUGUCCACAUUCACUCGGCUAGUUGACAGGGUUUGGAACUCCGAUCUGUACGGCCCCCAAGCUAUGCUGCAAGUGCCGCACACAGGUCUCACCCCUGCCCCGUGGAGUUGGCCAUACUGCAGCAAUAAAGACCGUGGAGCUGACAGCUCUGCAGCUGCUUCAGAGAGAGAUGUAGAGAUUUAUGCACAAAGAUGUGUGCCUAAGAUAUGUUAUAGCAAAAGGCCAAAUAUUCUUGUAAAAGUGGCAGAGAUGACUGAAGAGCUUUAUUAAGCAUGUAUUAAGUAUGUGCAGUGGAGCAUUACCAUCUGCUAAAUCUGGGUGGUUUUAUUGACCUCUCUAUUUUGCUGUAUGUUUGAAAUAUUUCAUUAUUAAUCAUUCUUAGGCAAAAGGAAAUGGAAGAAAGCAGAUAAGUUCUGCAUUGUGAGUUGUUCAGGUAGUUUUUGCAUAAACUGGAGGGUGAUAAUUGCUGAUAUGACCUCAAAAGAGAUAAGGGAGCGAAAGGAAGGUUUGCUAAUUAGCUACUAAGAAGAGAGAAAUGUGAGAAAUAAUUAAAUCACCUGGUUCGGUGUGCUCCUCUAACGCAUCCUCCCUGACUGUCUCUUCCAACUUAAUGACUCAGAGCAAUCAGCCAACGAUACACUCCGGGAGAAGAGAGAUCUUGUUAAACUUUGAGUUUGAUGCCAGUGAUGCAUGCAUUGUUUUCACAAAUUAUAUUAGUGCUCAUGCACUGGAAUUGCUGUACUUUAGACACUCAAAAUUAUGGACCAACUAUCUCUAGUGGUUGCCUGGUUUUGGAGUGAACCUCAAAGGCGAGCCUUGGCUAGGAAAGAUUUUUCCAUAUUCCAGCAGCUUUUGUUCAAAGCAUAUUUUGUUUAUACUUCCUUCCAAGUUCAAUGUGACACGGAUGGUUGUGCUUUGAUUUUUUUUUUCUUUUUUGGGGUUCAUGGAAAUCAUAACUGAAGUUUAAUUUUUUAAUCUUGCCCUUCAGAGCAGCUGACACAUCUCAGCCAAUGUUUGUUGUAUGUGCAAAAUAUACGGAAGGGAGGAGUCAAUUAAAGCCAAAAGGAGUAACAGAAAGGAAAUACUUGAGAACAGAAACCAAUAAAAUAGUAGGGAAAAUGAAUAAAAUAAAUUGGUUUUUUAAAAGAUUAAUAACAUUUUUAAUCCCCUAGCAAAAUUUAUCAAGGGAAAAAACCCCACACAAAUUACCAAUGUUAGGGACAAUAUUAUAUAUACACACACACACACACACAUAAGGAAGGAGUAGCUAUUUCAAUGGCUAUAGGACAUUAAUGUGGAUGUCUUGUUAGAGCCGUUGAUUUGAUUUUAAGAAAGCUCAUCAUUGUCGUUUAUUCUUUAAGUUGUGUCCGACUCUUGUAACCCCAUGGACCGUGGCCUGCUAGGCUCCUCUGUCCAUGGGAUUCUCCAGGCAAGAAUACUGGAACGGUUACCAUUUCCUUCUCCAUUUAAGAAAGCUACUUAUAUAAAUAAGCUAUGACAGAGGGAGUUCAUCCACGUUUUAAUGAGACAGCUUAACUCUCCUGCUAAAUUAAUACAUCUACUUUGAGACUUUAAUCUCCAGGAGAAGUGGCAACAGAAAGGGCAGUUGAAGAAACACUCCUUGUACACAUUCACAAUGUUUAUUUUUAUAAAAUCAACACUGUAAUAUAAUUCCACUUUUAUCUAAAACAAAAUGUAUAAAUGCAAUUAACACUAGAAGAAUAUACAAACCAGAAUAUUCAUAAUGACUAAUUUUCUCUUUUAGAUAAUAUUUUAAAUUAUUGGAUUUUACUUUUCCAUGUUUUCUCACUUCUCUGUGUCAAGCCUAUACAACCAGUUUAGAAUGAGAAGUGAAAGUUGCUCAGUUAUGUCUGACUCUGUGACUCCAUGGACUAUAGCCUGCCAGGCUCCUCUGGGAUCUUCCCAACCCACACAUCAAAACCAGGUCUUCCGCAUUGCAGGCAGAUUCUUUACCAGCUGAGCCACAAGGGAAGCCCUUGUUUUGUUUUCUUUGGCUACAGACAUGUGGGAUCUUUGCUCCUCAACCAGGGAUCGGACCCACACCCCUUAUGUUAGGAGGUGAAAUCUUAAUCCCUAGACUGCCAGGAGAAGAAAAUACAAUAAAUGUUUCAGGAUCAAGAGAAAAAAAAUGAAUAUACACCAAUGUUUAAGGG